rnacentral:rRNA from 1 species
ACGAACGCUGGCGGCGUGCUUAACACAUGCAAGUCGAACGGUGAAGCGCCUUCCUUUUUGGUGGGUGUGGAUGAGUGGCGAACGGGUGAGUAACACGUGAGUAACCUGCCCCCUUCUUCUGGAUAACCGCAUGAAAGUGUGGCUAAUACGGGAUAUUCUGGGUCUGUCGCAUGAUGGGUCUGGGAAAGAUAUUGUUUCGGUGGGGGAUGGGCUCGCGGCCUAUCAGCUUGUUGGUGGGGUGAUGGCCUACCAAGGCGGUGACGGGUAGCCGGCCUGAGAGGGUGGACGGUCACACUGGGACUGAGACACGGCCCAGACUCCUAAGGGAGGCAGCAGUGGGGAAUAUUGCACAAUGGGCGCAAGCCUGAUGCAGCGACGCCGCGUGAGGGAUGGAGGCCUUCGGGUUGUGAACCUCUUUCGCCAGUGAAGCAGGCCUGCCUCGUUUGUGGGUGGGUUGACGGUAGCUGGAUAAGAAGCGCCGGCUAACUACGUG